rnacentral:rRNA from 1 species
GAUUAAGUUAUUAAGGGCGCACGGUGGAUGCCUUGGCACUAGAAGCCGAUGAAGGACGUUACUAACGACGAUAUGCUUUGGGGAGCUGU